rnacentral:sRNA from 1 species
CUAUGUCAGACGAGCUUGAGGAGGAGC